UACAGAGGGGGCAAGCGUUGUUCGGAAUUACUGGGCGUAAAGGGCUCGUAGGUGGCCAACUAAGUCAGACGUGAAAUCCCUCGGCUUAACCGGGGAACUGCGUCUGAUACUGGAUGGCUUGAGUUCGGGAGAGGGAUGCGGAAUUCCAGGUGUAGCGGUGAAAUGCGUAGAUAUCUGGAGGAACACCGGUGGCGAAGGCGGCAUCCUGGACCGACACUGACACUGAGACGCGAAAGCGUGGGGAGCAAACAGG
rnacentral:rRNA from 1 species